ACAGGAGAGGUCAGGCCGGGGGCUGACCUUGGCUCACAGGGCUGGGCAGGAGGUGACUGAAGGAAAUGGGGUCAAAAACAUAGGCCGAAGGUGGUACACUGGCAAGGACUGGACUUGGGAAGGCCCAGCGGAAGGUCACAGAGAGGUCAGCCAGGUGGGAGCAGCGGUGACCUGGACUUGUCUCCCAGAGGAGGGGCCUAGGGUCAUGUGCAGCAAAUGGACUUCAUCUGGAGGAUUCUGCAAUUCUCUUGCAGGAAUUUGAGCUGGUUGCAUAAAGUGGGAAUAGACUCUAAACGUGAUAUAGAGGAAAUGCAGCUGAGAAGUAAUCAACCUAAUAGAACAGGAUAUGACAUAGACCUCGUCUGGAGCUGGACAUGAAUGAAUUCCACCUGAUUAAAGCAGAAUGCCAACCCCAAAGGGAGAGAAAAUAAGAAAAAAGUGGCCAAUUACUCAGCAGAAAAGAUUAAAGGUGUUAAACUGCUUUCCAAAUUCAGGAGUGUUUUGUAAAAGUAAAGGAUCACUCAUCUUGUUCUCUGUAUUGAUUAAAAAGAGAGAGAGAGAGAUGGUUGGUAAAGAGAGUUUGCCCCCUUGAUUGGACAGUGAAUGGUAGAGAGAGUGAACCUUCCAGAUCCCGUAGGCAUUGAGCUGGUACAGUGAUACGGUAUGACUUGGAGGAGUCGGAUAGGAGGGUGAACCAUAUUGGCGCUUACCAGCAACCUUCCUCAGGAUUUUGACUUAGAGUGUUGUGUUGGAGCAAGGAUACUUCGGGGACCUCUGCUAUGUGUCAGUAGGGAAGUGAUGGGAGGUUGACUCUGAGAGCCUCUUUCCAGACCUGGGAGUCCAGUACCCUGUGAAGUGGAAAGCCCCUCAUCACCUACCUCCUGAACUCUGCAUGGUAAAUCGGGAGAGUUGCAAGGAAGAAAA